GUGGCACCCAUGGCAUAUGGAGGUUCCCGGGCAAGGGGUUGAAUCAGAGCUGUAGCUGCAGGCCUUUGCCACAGCUACAGCAACACAGGGUCGGAGCUGUGUCUGUGACCUACACCACAGCUCACAGCAACGCCAGAUCCUUAACUCACUGAGUGAGGCCAGGGAUUGAACCAGCAUCCUCAUGGAUACUAGUCAGGUUCAUUAACUACUUAGCCAUGACAGGAACUCCAUGAAUUUUACUCUUGGGGAAAGAAGUAGAAUAAAUUAUUCACGUACAGAUAUGCUCAGUGAUAAGGCUCCCAAAGUUAGAAACCCCAGAAGCAACUACAUUUUAAUAGGCAAUGUUCAUCAACCUAGUACAAUUCUCCUUUACCUACAAACCCUGAAAAUAAUAUACCAGUUUUGAGACGUUAGGAGCUCUAAUGAGCAGUAUUCCACUGUGUAUAUAUACCACAUCUUCCUGAUCCAAUCAUCUGUCGACAGACAUUUGGGUUGUUUCCAACUCUUGGCUAUUGUUGAAUAGAGCUGCAAUGAAUAUGCGGGUACAUGUGUCUUUUUUAAGGAGCGUUUUGUCUGGAUAUAUACCCAAGAGUGGAAUUGCUGGGUCAUAUGGUAGUUCUAGGUAUAGUUUUCUAAGGUACCUCCAUACUGGUUGUACCAGCUUACAUUCCCACCAGCAGUGCAGAAGGGUUCUUGUAUUGGGGAAAUAACAAUUAAAAAAUAAAAAAAUAAAAUUUAUCAAUAUAAUAAAUAAAUAAAAAAGAAUGACAAUUUCAUAUGGUUUACCUCAAUAGAUGAGAGGUUAUAAGCAUAAAUAUUCUGAUUGGCUAGUUAGGUCAGCAUAAAUGUGUCAUGUAUGUAGUUGUGAGAAACUAGGGAGUAUUGGGGUCUAUAGGAACUUGAGAACACAUGCCUUAUUUGAAGAGAUUCAUUCUAAAAACAAACAAAUAAACAAAGACCACUAUGCCAGUCAAACUAAACGAUUAUGAGGUGAGGGCUGGUAGACCAUCAGUUUAUGAAGGCCAAACUAGAUGAUUACUGAGACUCUCCAGCUCCAGCUUUCUGUGCAUGCAUGAAGUCCAGCUGCCUAGGGAAGAGAGUUCCGAAAAAUAUUAACUUUGUUCUUUCCCCCACCUUGGAGACAUCACUGAGGAGCUAUGUUAAAAAGUAAUAGCUUCAACAAACAACAUUCUGCUGUUGCCCGUGAAAAGAAAAACCUUCAGAUAAGAGCUAUAGUGAUAAGGAAACUAGAAAGCAAGAAAAUGACAAGUCAGAAUGAGUGAAAAAGAAGAGCGUUAAUAAACUGUCAAAUUCUUCCCAUGACAAAGGCUGUGGAAUUCUGCUUUACCUUCUCCACUUCAGAAAAUGACCCACUUCCCAUUACCGGUCAUGAAAGCUAAAUGGGGCAACUCUAAAAUGUACUAUCAUUUAGAAACAACAAGGUAGUCUGAAUUUUUAAAACAGGAAGGAAAGAAGCCAAAGGUUUCUUCCACUCAUUAAAAAGUGACAUUAUGGAUCUCAUAUACCCUCCAAGAAGAGAUCCACUUCCCCAUUCUUAGUGUUUGCUGGACAAUGAACAGAAAAUCCAAGCCAUGCAUGAAUGCAAAUGCCACCAUGUGAGUUUGCUUAGGUUAAAUGCAAACUCAUAAUGGGUUAUAGGUUUGCAAAAUCAAUUUUUCCCACUUGAGUCAAUUGUGGAAGUUUUAAUAUUGACCACGUUUACUCAACUGUCUGCCAGGUAUGUCUUAUGGCUACUUCAUGGCUUAUUUAUAAAUGAUAUGUAUAUAGCACCCUGUCUUUUUUUUUUAAAGUGGUUAAAAAAAUCUGCUUUUCUUUUCCUUUAAUGAGAGAAUGUCACCAGAUCAAAAUGUCUAUAAAUAUAGUAUGUAGAUCUUUAUGAGAACAUUUACUGACUGCAGAGAAAGGAACUAUCAUAAGCAAAACAGAGGAGUCUUAAAGGUAUAUUUCUUACAAUAAAAAGGUAAUAUACAUCAAAGUUCUACAAAAGAAAAGAGUAACACAUUUUUUUCUUCUUUUAUCUCCUUUUUGCCUAAGACUUUGCACAUGACCAGAUCUAGGAUCUGACUCCAUUUCAAUACUUUUAUAAAUCUGAUAAUUUUACUUCUUAGAAGUUUGAGCAUUCAAGUUAUAUAAUGCUGAUAAAGUCUGAUAAAUUUUGCCUAUGUUUUUGCUAAGGGAGAUAGACAAAGAAGGCACUAUUAAGAUGCAUGAUAACAUUUUAAAAGACUAAAGGUUUCUGAUUACCUGGUUACACCUUUAAAUAUUAUAGGCCAUCAGAGUCCCAAACAAAAUAUAUUAGUUUGGUUCACCCUACUUUUAAGCAAAGGUGAGUAUAAAAUAUGGAUGUCUAGAAUCUGUACACAUUCUACAGAAGUCGCUGCAAUCUGGUUUAAAGCUUUCUGGGAAGAUUUAUAAUGAAAUUUAUGAUAGUGAUUCAUUGCUGUCUUGCAGUGUCAAGCCUCAUGUCUUAUAAAGAAAAGCAUAUAUCUACUCCUAAAGAAAUAAUAGUACUUUACAAAAUAGCUCUUUUUAUAAGCAAUAUGGUGAUAGAUCCAAUCAGAUGUGUGAUUAUCAAUAUGAAAUAUCUUUGACAUAACUAACUUAAAAUCAUUGCAGAACUUUAAUGGUUUCUAUUUAAUAUAAACCCCUGUUCCUCCCUUGGAGCGUCUCAGACGAUCACAAACAUGGAACAGCUUUACCAUGGGUUACUAGCUAAUUAUCCCACAUUUAACAUAUAUCUAAAAAUGAAAGAGACCAUGUCAAAAGUGUCACAGAUUUGGAAAAUCUCAGGAUAGGAAAAUGACUAAGCUAGGAUGAAAACUCCAAUGCUUACAGAGAACAGAGAAGUGAGAAUAUGGUGAGAUCUGAACAGUGUUGCUCCUUAACAACAGGAGACCCCAUGCCCCAUCUCAAGGGACAAUUGCCUCUUUCUUCUGCCAGGCCUAUCACUUAUAAAGGUGCCUACCCCAGUGCCAGGUCAUGUACAUUUUUCAAGAAAAUCCAGAAAUCUCAAUCUUGUGAAUUCUCCCAACUUACAAGUGUUGGCAACUAGUUGAAAAAUUAAAAAAUCUAAAAGAAACAGACAGAACCUAUUUGGAGUGCAUGGCCUAUCUCUGGGUCACAGGUUAAGGAGUUAGGCAUAAGCGACUUAGUCCAAGCUUUCUGAUUUGCAUCUCUUAUUACUACAUUCCUGACAAGCUGCUCUUGCCUGGUUUCAAACACUUCCAUCUCUGACCAGUUCAACACUCCUCAAGUCAGAGUCCAGAUUUCGCACAGCUCUCCCUUAUUUUGAGUCAAAAUCUGUCAUCACUAUUUCUUGAGUCACCUCUCAGCAUCAUAGAAAUCUUCUUCAACAUGAAAAACUUUCAAAUACUGGAAGACAUAAGCACACCCUAUACAUUUGGAUGAAUGAUUCAUUUAAACAUUUCCAAAAACAUGAUUCUCACAACUCAGGGAUAUCAUUUCAGACAGAAGCUCAAUUUUCCUUCAUAUGAAUAAAUAAUAAAAAAUUAAAAACAGAAGUAGCAUCAGAUCAGGUGUUGGAAAAUAUGAAGCAUAUUGUCAAGGGAGAUCUUGCCAGUGGCUCGGAAAAAUGGAGGGGAAGAGAAGGACGUCAUCGGAGGCUGAUGCAUGACUCCACGCCUUCCAGAUCCUGUAUCAUGAUGAGCUCAUUCCUGUACUCAGGUCAGUGCAUCGAUGCUUGUGGACAAUGGCCCUGUCCAUUUCCUCACAUUUAUAAUUCUGAAAUGCUACAUCCCACUUCUUUAUCCUCAAUCAAUUCCUCUCAAAGGCACGUCCAAUUCAGAAUUCCACUUCUGGGUUUCAAUCCUCCAUGGACCCACAGCAGUCUGCUCCACAUCCUUUCUCUCUCACCAGUCUCAUCAAACCACUUUCCCCUCCUGCUUUUUCCACAGAAACUUAUUCCCUUCCUUUCUUACCUUUUGAGGAGUUUUCCAAUAAGUCUCUGUUUAUUACUAUGUCUCAGCUGCCCAUCCCCCAAAUAUUGCUCCACACAAAAGAUUUCCAGUGAUAAUUACUGGUGAUGUUUUAGAAAACAGUGGUAUAAUACUAUUCAUUUGCCACCUGUAUUUAGCUGCUGAAAAAUCCACACUGGAAAUGAAUAGCAUUAUGCUUUUUUCUCCCCCCUCAGACAUGUGAAAAUGUGAUUUUGUGACAGUUUUGUUAGGGGUGAGAAUUUUGCCUUCUCCCUUCUUGCGAUGGUCUCCAGUGUCAACAUUGCCUAAGAAGUGAGUAAAGGCCCUUGAGUUACAAGAGCCAUAUCACUUCUUUUUUAAUCAAGGAAAGAAGGAUAAGAUGAAAUCUCCCUCAAGUGCUAAAAAGACAGCAGUUUAUUUAAAGAAAGUAUUUACACUCUUUGCUAAUUACUUAGGUGUGCUCACACUGAUACAAGUGCAGAACUGUAUACCCUUCAACCGUCUUCAGGAUAUCAUUAAAUUAAAUUCAUAAAGAAAUGUGGGUUUAAAUCAGAAACAUGCUUCAGCAAUCGAGACUAUAAUGUCUUUCAACUUUCUCACAUUUUUUAGCAGAAGAAAAGACAACUAAUAGAGUUUUCCUUAGAGGCAAAGAACAUUUAUCCAAAUGGGCAUAUUAUUCUCAGAAUAAAUAUAGUACGACUGCCCGCCUUUGACUGAAGUUUUGUAGCAGAAAAAGUAUCCCAUUAUCCCACCUGAUUUACCUAGUAAAAAGAAAAUCUGAAUAACAGAAAAAUAUAGAGUGACCAGCAUAGAGAAAGAAAUUUAUCCUUCCCAGAUUUACUGUUGGAAUAUAUCCUUGCCCAGAUCCUUUUUUUUUUAAUUUUCUACACCCCUAGGAAUUUCCUCCUUCUUUCUUUCAAGGAAUAUUUACUGAGUGCCUUCUAUGUAUAAAGAACUAUAGUGGUCACAGGAGUGAAAACAGAGAACAGAGGCAGGACCUCUCUCUUCAUGGGAUAUGAAAUGACUAUCUUCCCAAUUCACUAUUUAGUUAUACUUUUUGAUGAGUGUUGGGUAAAGAAGGAUGGGAGAGCAUAAUAAGGGCAUGAAGCAGAAGGACUUGGAAGGUUGGCAAAACUCCCUUUAGGAAAUGAAAAAGCAUAAAUUAAUUCUUAAGUAUGUGGAGCAGGAUGGAGUUUUCCAGAGUAAAGGAACAGAACAUGGGAAAGCUCUCCAUCAGAAGAAGCAUGAGCACUAAAGGGUCUAGGCUUGAUAGUGAGCAGGAGAGAGGUUAAAGCUCUGUCAUUCAGUAUUUGAGACUGUGUUAAGGAUGUUGGUUUACAGUUUUAGGGCAAUGGGAGUUAAUUAGAAAAACAAAUGGAAAAUUGAGUAGAAGAAGUAUGUGAGGAUAUCAAUGAAGAG
rnacentral:lncRNA from 1 species